GAGUCCUGAAGGGACGUUGAAGACUACGACGUUGAUAGGCCGGGUGUGUAAGCGCAGCGAUGCGUUGAGCUAACCGGUACUAAUGACCCGUGAGGCUUAACCUUA
rnacentral:rRNA from 1 species